CUCCACCCGCAACUCAUCUCUCCACCACGUCCUAAGAAAAACCCGCCUGAAACUUGUUUUCGUAUUCCGAGUAGACCCUUAUCCGACAGCUCUAACCUUGACGUUUUCUCAGGGACAGUUCCGUACUCUUCAGCUGUCUUUGGCAAACCAAUGGGGAUUCCUAGCGGCGACGACGUCGUCUUAAUCCAACAACCCAAGAGCCCCGGUGACUCCACCGUCGUCACUGUCAAUUGCCCCGACAAGGCCGGCCUCGGCUGCGACCUUUGCCGUAUAAUUCUCGAGUUUGGCCUUUGCAUCACUCGCGCAGACUUUUCCACGGAUGGAAGAUGGUGUUACAUAGUAUUCUGGGUGGUUCCAGACUCCACCUUACAUAGACUCAAUUGGGAUAGCUUGAAAAACCGGCUCUCUUAUGCCUCCCCUCCUUGUUUGAUUCC
rnacentral:misc_RNA from 1 species